GAGGAGCCUGCGGCAGAUUAGCUAGUUGGUGAGGUAAUGGCUCACCAAGGCUGCGAUCUGUAGCUGGUCUGAGAGGACGGCCAGCCACACUGGCACUGACACACGGGCCAGACUCCUACGGGAGGCAGCAGUGGGGAAUUUUGGGCAAUGGGCGAAAGCCUGACCCAGCAACGCCGCGUGAGGGAGGAAAUCCUUCGGGAUGUAAACCUCACAAGCAAGGGAAGAGAGCCGCGGGCUGAAUAAUCCCGCGGUGCGACGGUACCUUGCGUAAGCCACGGCUAACUACGUGCCAGCAGCCGCGGUAAUACGUAGGUGGCAAGCGUUGUUCGGAAUUAUUGGGCGUAAAGGGCGCGUAGGCGGCUUGUUAAGUCGGCUGUGAAAGCCCGGGGCUCAACCCCGGAGGGUCGGCCGAUACUGGCGAGCUAGAGUACGGAAGAGGUAGCUGGAAUUCCCGGUGUAGCGGUGAAAUGCGUAGAUAUCGGGAGG
rnacentral:rRNA from 1 species